AGUAACACGUGGGUAACCUACCUAUAAGACUGGGAUAACUCCGGGAAACCGGGGCUAAUACCGGAUAAUAUUUUGAACCGCAUGGUUCGAUAGUGAAAGACGGUUUCGGCUGUCACUUAUAGAUGGACCCGCGCCGUAUUAGCUAGUUGGUAAGGUAACGGCUUACCAAGGCGACGAUACGUAGCCGACCUGAGAGGGUGAUCGGCCACACUGGAACUGAGACACGGUCCAGACUCCUACGGGAGGCAGCAGUAGGGAAUCUUCCGCAAUGGGCGAAAGCCUGACGGAGCAACGCCGCGUGAGUGAUGAAGGUCUUCGGAUCGUAAAACUCUGUUGUUAGGGAAGAACAAAUUUGUUAGUAACUGAACAAGUCUUGACGGUACCUAACCAGAAAGCCACGGCUAACUACGUGCCAGCAGCCGCGGUAAUACGUAGGUGGCAAGCGUUAUCCGGAAUUAUUGGGCGUAAAGCGCGCGUAGGCGGUUUCUUAAGUCUGAUGUGAAAGCCCACGGCUCAACCGUGGAGGGUCAUUGGAAACUGGGAAACUUGAGUGCAGAAGAGGAGAGUGGAAUUCCAUGUGUAGCGGUGAAAUGCGCAGAGAUAUGG
rnacentral:rRNA from 1 species